UACGUAGGGGGCAAGCGUUGUCCGGAUUUAUUGGGCGUAAAGAGCGUGUAGGCGGCCUGGUAGGUCUGCUGUGAAACUCGAGGCUCAACCUCGAGAUGUCGGCGGAAACCAUCUGGCUAGAGUCCGGAAGAGGAGAGUGGAAUUCCUGGUGUAGCGGUGAAAUGCGCAGAUAUCAGGAAGAACACCUAUGGCGAAGGCAGCUCUCUGGGACGGUACUGACGCUGAGACGCGAAAGCGUGGGGAGCGAACAGG
rnacentral:rRNA from 1 species